rnacentral:lncRNA from 1 species
CAGACUUUGAGACUUCGGAUCUCAAAACUUCAGUCUCCUAGACUGCAAGUCAUCCCAAGAUGGCAGGAAAUGUGAUGGGGCCCUGCCAGCACCCAACUCUCCUGAAGGCCACUCAGCACAUGGAACACACAGCAAGACAGCAAGAUUGGAGAUCUCCAGAACCCAGCUCAUCCUCAAGAAGAGAAUCCAGAGAGGGUGCCCAGGAUACACCUGCC